rnacentral:rRNA from 1 species
GAAGGUGGGGAUGACGUCAAGUCAUCAUGGCCCUUACGUCCGGGGCUACACACGUAAUACAAUGGCCGGUACAAUGGGCAAAGGCGCGAGCCGGAGGAAAUCCCCAAAACCGGUCUCAGUUCAGAUUGGAGUCUGCAACUCGACUCCAUGAAGGUGGAAUCGCUAGUAAUCGUGGAUCAGCAUGCCACGGUGAAUACGUUCCCGGGCCUUG